GAACGCUGGCGGCGUACCUAACACAUGCAAGUCGAACGGGGAUCACGGGGUUAGCAAUAACUUCGUGGUUCUAGUGGCGCACGGGUGAGUAACACGUGGGUAACCUGCCCUUGAGACUGGGAUACCCCCUCGAAAGGGGGGCUAAUACCGGAUACGUUCCUCGGAUCGAAAGGUUUGAGGAGGAAAGGUGGCGAAAGCUGCCGCUCUUGGAGGGGCUCGCGGCCUAUCAGCUAGUUGGCGGGGUAACGGCCCACCAAGGCUAUGACGGGUAGCUGGUCUGAGAGGACGACCAGCCACACGGGGACUGAGACACGGCCCCGACUCCUACGGGAGGCAGCAGUGGGGAAUUUUCCGCAAUGGGCGAAAGCCUGACGGAGUGACGCCGCGUGUGGGACGAAGGCCUUCGGGUCGUAAACCACUGUCAGUGGGAAAGAUGGGUGUCGGCGUGAUAACCGCCGGCAUUUGACGGUACCUGCAGAGGAAGCCCCGGCUAACUCUGUGCCAGCAGCCGCGGUAAGACAGAGGGGGCAAGCGUUGCUCGGAAUUACUGGGCGUAAAGGGCGCGUAGGCGGGAUGGCAAGUCGGUCGUGAAAUCCCUCGGCUCAACUGAGGAUCGUCGAUCGAUACUGCCGUUCUUGAGGAUUGCAGAGGAGACUGGAAUUCCUGGUGUAGCAGUGAAAUGCGUAGAUAUCAGGAGGAACACCGAUGGCGAAGGCAGGUCUCUGGGCUGAAACUGACGCUCAUGCACGAAAGCGUGGGGAGC
rnacentral:rRNA from 1 species